rnacentral:rRNA from 1 species
AUACGGAGGAUCCAAGCGUUAUCCGGAAUCAUUGGGUUUAAAGGGUCCGUAGGCGGUCUUAUAAGUCAGUGGUGAAAGUUUUUAGCUUAACUAAAAAAUUGCCAUUGAUACUGUUAGACUUGAAUUACUUGGAAGUAACUAGAAUAUGUAGUGUAGCGGUGAAAUGCUUAGAUAUUACAUGGAAUACCAAUUGCGAAGGCAGGUUACUAUGAGUUAAUUGACGCUGAUGGACGAAAGCGUGGGUAGCGAACAGGAUUAGAUACCCUGGUAGUCCACGCCGUAAACGAUGGAUACUAGUUGUUUGGCCGCAAGGCUGAGUGACUAAGCGAAAGUGAUAAGUAUCCCACCUGGGGAGUACGAACGCAAGUUUGAA